rnacentral:rRNA from 1 species
AACGCGAAGAACCUUACCAAAUCUUGACAUCCUUUGAAAACUCUAGAGAUAGAGCCUUCCCCUUCGGGGGACAAAGUGACAGGUGGUGCAUGGUUGUCGUCAGCUCGUGUCGUGAGAUGUUGGGUUAAGUCCCGCAACGAGCGCAACCCUUAAGCUUAGUUGCCAUCAUUAAGUUGGGCACUCUAGGUUGACUGCCGGUGACAAACCGGAGGAAGGUGGGGAUGACGUCAAAUCAUCAUGCCCCUUAUGAUUUGGGCUACACACGUGCUACAAUGGACAAUACAAAGGGCAGCUAAACCGCGAGGUCAUGCAAAUCCCAUAAAGUUGUUCUCAGUUCGGAUUGUAGUCUGCAACUCGACUACAUGAAGCUGGAAUCGCUAGUAAUCGUAGAUCAGCAUGCUACGGUGAAUACGUUCCCGGGCCUUGUACACACCG